AUUGGUUUAUCUGGCUGUAUUCCCCUCCCUCAUCUCUCUUGCCUGCUUCGGCGGGCGGCGGCGGCGGCGGCGACGACGGACAUCAACCCGAUCUAGCCAGUUCGAGACCUCCGCCUCUUGCCCGCAAGAUCUGCAGUGGACGAUUAUAUAUGUUGGAUCAGCUGAAGAUGAGACCUAUGAUCAGCAACCUGAGAGUGUGCUUGUUGGCCCUGUGAAUGUUGGGACAUACCACUUUGUUCUGCAGGUUGACCCCCCUGAUCCCUCAAAGAUCCAUGAUGAGGACAUGGUCGCUACCGUAAUCCAGACCGAAUUAGCAACUAUGUAGGGUUCGGUCAGCAUUCUUACCUGGCUGAGGUUGUUGAAGUUUGGCUCCGAGCAUUUGUAUAUUGCAGAAGAUGAUAGAUGAAGUUAGCAAGUAACAUUGUGAGGAGCUGUCAUCCCAUGUUUUUCUGCAGCACCGUCUCCGUCGUCCUCGACAGACAGAAGAAGUUCAUCUCAAGCUUUAGGGUGAGCUCCACAGAAGUAAAUUUGCACAUUGGGUGGGGCGACAAGGUUGUGGCAACUUGGUGGCAUGGCUGCUGAUCAGCCAAGCAAGGCCUACUCUGCCUGCACCUAUGCAUGGUUGCUUACUGCUUCAAUCAACCUCACUGUCAUAACUAGCAUGAGUCGGAGAAUAAAAAUGUAAGUCUCCUUGGGCAUAAUCUCUUUUCUUUUGAAGCAUGUUCCAAUCGCAUAGCUCAAAUGGGAUAUCAGUCAAACUGCCACUUAGAUAAUGGCACUGUGUUGUUCUCCUGCAAGUUCAUGUAUGUAUGGUUUAUUUGCUAGAGUCAGAAAAGGUCCUGAAAUAUUGUCAACCUGGUUUAUGUGUAGUCAGAGCAAAGGAUUUAAGCAUAACUUCUGCAAUUUUUUGUUGGUUAGCAUUUACCAUUUAACCUCUUGUGUAAACCUUUUAGAUGGCGCAAGUUAUACAUACGUUCUCUAUCCUCUUUUUUCCCCUUUGAAUCAGAGCAGUUUUCAAGAACUUCCGAAUCAUGCCAUGGCGCAAGCUCAGAUAUGUGUAAUGCUACCAUUUUUUGCUUGCCUCUCUUGCUCUGAUUAUGCAAAUAAACAUACAAGAGCACAUUAUUGUGGUGGAUCUUGCAUUUGGGAGUAUUUUUAUCUCUGAUUGAUGUACAAGGCAGGAAAGAUCCAUGAUAUGGUUUACUGUGUAUUUCUAGAACCUAUUAGAAUGCAUAAAACAUACCUGAAGAGAGUGUGUUGCCUUUAGUUAUAGGUUUGGUUUGAUUAUUUGAUUUUGCAUUUCUGAUCUCUGUAUAUUUUCUUCCCUUGGUGCAUAUUUGUUUUAGCGGUGAGUUUCAUAGGCUCGGCUUUUUGUGCGCUCUGUUUUCAUUAACCAUAAUUCAUUGUUGCAGGCACUUUCGACCUUUUAUUUCAGAUUAUGACGUAAAUUUUUAACUAAUAGUACAUUUAUGUAAAUAAUUAAACCAUUGGCAGUGAACAACUUCUGUUCGUAAUUAUUUGGUGGCACCAAAUUAAUAAUAAAAGGCAUGGGAUUUUUUUUUUUGAAUUGAUACUACUUUUUUGGUUCAGUCCAUUUGAUUUUCUUGCAUAUAUUAUUUUGCUUAUAUGCUUGCUUCAAACUUGUGGUUGUUGGAUAAACAGCAACUGAACCUUUACUGAGGGCCAAAGGCUAGUACAUAUACAGGUGUGACAAAGUGCAGAAAAGCCCCUUAUAUGAUGGGGAUGUACACAAUGAACUAUACACAUCUAACACCCCCCCUCAAACUCAUGGUGGAUCAACAACACUGAGUUUGGAGAGGAAAAAUCCAUGCUGCGCUCUAGUCUGUGCCUUCGUGAAGAAGUCAGCCAACUGUAACUCAGAGGGCACAUAGUGAAGAGCGAGAAUCUGAUCCUGCACAGCAGCACGCACAAAGUGGGCAUCCACACCGAUGUGCUUGGUGAGCUCAUGCUUCAUCGGGUCACGCGCAAUACUGAUAGCACUAGUACUGUCGGACAGGAGAGGAGUUGAGGUAGUAGCAGACACACCAAAGUCCUCAAGUAACCACCGUAACCAGAUCACCUCAGCCGUCAACAUAGCCAUGUCUCGCAACUCAGCCUUUGUACUCGAGCGAGAAACUGCAGUCUGCUUCUUUGUCUUCCAGGCAAUAAGAGAGCCACCAAGAAAGAAACAGUAAGCAGACAACGAGCGUCGAUCAGAGGGAUCACUA